rnacentral:lncRNA from 1 species
AAGGAAGUUGACAUGUCAUCACUUCAUUUUUUUGCGCCUGCGCAUAAAUCUGAGAGACGUGAGUUUGUCAUCAUUUUUUAUCUAGACAUAGGAUAGGUUGUGUGAAAAUAUUACUGAUGUUUAACGUUAAAAAUGGACCAAAAGAUUAAUGCUAAACAACAUUUGACAUGUUUGAACGAACAUAAAUAGAUUAUUUACUAGGUUUUUUUAGCUUUUCGGCGUGAUUUUACCAGCCCCACACCACGUUUUGUGGGAGCAUAAUGAACGCUAAGUACUUGGUGUUAUUUGGACAUAAAUUAUGAACUUUGUCAAAAGAAACCACAUUUGUUCCGGACCUGGAAUGCCUUCCGGACCUGGGAUCCUGCCUUCUGAUGGAGAUAAUCAAAGUGUGUAUUGGGGUAUCAACCGGUUCUGGCUCCUUGGCAUCAGAGUCAGACCGAGGCUCCUGCGGUGGACGACUGGUUCCGGCGCGCGGAAGAGACAUGGGACGCCGCACAUGUCCACCUUCAG